rnacentral:tRNA from 1 species
CAAGGUUUCUGGUUCGAGUCCAGGAUGGCCCACCUGAAUCAAUGCAAAAUUAAAAAUUCAAAAUUCAAAAUUAAGAAAUUGUUUUUGAAUUUUGCAUUUUGAACUUUGAAUUGAGUGAGGGGGUUUAGCUCAGUUGGUAGAGCGCCUGCUUUGCAAGCAGGAUGUCAGCGGUUCGAGUCCGCUAACCUCCACCUGUAGCGUCAAGCUAGCGAAAAACAAAGCUUAUGGAAAAAGUCAGCAACUAACGAAAAAAGUAGUUAGACUGCUGGGUUGACUCCAGCCAGAACCUUGAAAACUGCAAA